CACGAUAAGGGCAAACCCUGAGUGAUCAGGGGACGCAAAGUAAUAGGGUCUUCUUAUACAGGGAUGUAGUUUCUAAGAGAAGAUAACUAUAUCCUGACUAUUAAGUCGUAAAAAGACAGCCUUACUGCCGAAG
rnacentral:ncRNA from 1 species